GCUAGCCGCAUUCGUUCGGGUGCCUUUUUACAAGGUGAAACGGGAAACCGGUGCGUCAGCCGCUUCUGCAAAGAAGCAGCGACAAAUCCGGUGCUGCCCCCGCAACGGUAAGCGAGGAAAGCGUCUUUACCACUGUGCCAGCUGUGCGGCAUGGGAAGGUGACGCCCUCAGGCUGAGCAUGCUGCCAGCCCUCGCAAGCCCGGAGACCGGCCCGAUACAGUCAUGACAAA
rnacentral:ncRNA from 13 species